rnacentral:rRNA from 1 species
CCUACGGGAGGCAGCAGUGGGGAAUAUUGGACAAUGGGGGCAACCCUGAUCCAGCCAUACCGCGUGUGUGAAGAAGGCCCUCGGGUUGUAAAGCACUUUCAGUGAGGAAGAACGCCUGGUGGUUAAUACCCAUCAGGAAAGACAUCACUCACAGAAGAAGCACCGGCUAACUCCGGGCCAGCAGCCGCGGUAAUACGGAGGGUGCGAGCGUUAAUCGGAAUUACUGGGCGUAAAGCGCGCGUAGGUGGCUUGAUAAGCCGGUUGUGAAAGCCCCGGGCUCAACCUGGGAACGGCAUCCGGAACUGUCAAGCUAGAGUGCAGGAGAGGAAGGUAGAAUUCCCGGUGUAGCGGUGAAAUGCGUAGAGAUCGGGAGGAAUACCAGUGGCGAAGGCGGCCUUCUGGACUGACACUGACACUGAGGUGCGAAAGCGUGGGUAGCAAACAGGAUUAGAUACCCGAGUAGUC